rnacentral:rRNA from 1 species
GACGAACGCUGGCGGCGUGCCUAAUACAUGCAAGUCGAGCGGACUUUCAAGAAGCUUGCUUUUUGAAAGUUAGCGGCGGACGGGUGAGUAACACGUGGGCAACCUGCCUGCAAGACGGGGAUAACUCCGGGAAACCGGGGCUAAUACCGGAUAAUAUCUUCCUUCGCAUGAAGGAAGGUUGAAAGGCGGCGCAAGCUGCCGCUUGCAGAUGGUCCCGCGGCGCAUUAGCUAGUUGGUGAGGUAACGGCUCACCAAGGCGACGAUGCGUAGCCGACCUGAGAGGGUGGUCGGCCACACUGGGACUGAGACACGGCCCAGACGCCUACGGGAGGCAGCAGGAGGGAAUCUUACGGAAUGGACGAAAGUCUGACGGAGCAACGCCGCGUGAGCGAAGAAGGGCUUCGGAUCGUAAAGCUCUGUUGUCAGGGAAGAACAAGUACCGUUCGAACAGGGCGGUACCUUGACGGUACCUGACCAGAAAGCCACGGCUAACUACGUG